CGAGGCAAUUCAAAAAGAGUUUUCAAUUUUGUCUCCGUUGCUCUCCUUUCUUUCUUACAACCUAUCUUAGUUUUAGGACAAGGCUUUGGGAUUUAAGAUAAAGCCAUAUCUGGUCCUAACAAGGGUUGUGAGAGUCCUAAAGAAGGAGGAUCAGAAGUUUAGAAGAGGUUCUGAGAGGGUAGAGUUAGUUUCUUAGAGAAAUCUGAUCGGUAUGAGGCU
rnacentral:lncRNA from 1 species